AACCUAGCACACCUGCGGUGUGUACCUGCGGAGGGAUCAUUAUAGUAUAUGGAAUCUCCAUUCUAUAAACCCACUCUGCGUAUCUUGUAACUGUUGCUUCCAUGGGACUUGGUUCCGCCACACCGGCUUCACGGCUGGUGAGCGCCCAUGGAAGGAGAAACAAAACUCUUCUUUGAAAUGUAGUCAGUCUGAACAAGUUUUUAUAAACGUUAAAACUUUUAGCAACGGAUCUCAGAUCGG
rnacentral:misc_RNA from 1 species